rnacentral:rRNA from 1 species
GAUGAACGCUGGCGGCGUGCUUAACACAUGCAAGUCGAACGGAAAGGCCACAGCUUGCUGUGGUACUCGAGUGGCGAACGGGUGAGUAACACGUGGGUGAUCUGCCCUGUACUUCGGGAUAAGCUUGGGAAACUGGGUCUAAUACCGGAUAGGAAUCACAUGUGGGUGUGUGGUUGGAAAGCUUUUGCGGUAUGGGAUGAGCUCGCGGCCUAUCAGCUUGUUGGUGGGGUAAUGGCCUACCAAGGCGUCGACGGGUAGCCGGCCUGAGAGGGUAUACGGCCACAUUGGGACUGAGAUACGGCCCAGACUCCUACGGGAGGCAGCAGUGGGGAAUAUUGCACAAUGGGCGCAAGCCUGAUGCAGCGACGCCGCGUGGGGGAUGACGGCCUUCGGGUUGUAAACUCCUUUCGUCAGGGACGAAGCGAAAGUGACGGUACCUGGAUAAGAAGCACCGGCUAACUACGUG